UUAAGAGACCUCCGUAGGUGUUGCUGUCUCGUGUGUGACAAAGACUGGAUGACGAGAGACUUCUUGUUGAGGUGGAGAAAUAUAUCCCGAGCUAAACGACCCACAGUGACGUCAUUAUAACGCCAAUGGCCAAAACGUUAUUACCUGUAAACAGGAUAGAAAGGCGUCUCCAACCACCACUGACCCACACUUGUUUGAACAAUCUGACUUUACUGGAUUACGAUGAAAUCAUCUCCAUGGUCAAGACACCCUGUCUGCGCUUGUGAUGUAAUCUGCAGCGUCUCCCCCACAAGCCACCCAUGUGAGGUGUAACAACUUUAAAAGGCAGAGCAGCCCCAGUUUGUUCUGUUCCAACAUCACCAAGAUGCAGGAAAACUUUCCACUCGGAAUGUUUCCUGGGGGCAACGGCUAUCUGCAAGGCUGCAUGACACUUGAAAUGCUUCCUGGAGAGGAGGAGUGAAAGUGCAGGCAGUGUCGCUUCUUAUGGGUUCCCCUCAUGUCGCCAGACAACUUGGACCAAAAUUCACAAAAACCAUCUCAUCAUCACUACAGAAAUAUGAGAUCAUCGGGCAGCCAGCCAGCACAAUGACAGGAAAUACAAUGCCUGUGGUUGUAUGGCUGUUGCAGGCGAACUAGCUUCAGUCUGCACCAGAGACAGACACCGGCUCGCAGCAGUGACCCCCGAAACGAGCCGAAGCCAGACAAUGAUUCCCCUCUGGGAUGGAGAGCUGGAGAAGUGGG